CCUACGGGAGGCUGCAGUGGGGAAUUUUGGACAAUGGGGGCAACCCUGAUCCAGCCAUGCCGCGUGAGUGAAGAAGGCCUUCGGGUUGUAAAGCUCUUUCAGGUGGAAAGAAAUCGCAUCUUUUAAUACAGGGUGUGGAUGACGGUACCAUCAGAAGAAGCACCGGCUAACUACGUGCCAGCAGCCGCGGUAAUACGUAGGGAACGACCGUUAAUCGGAAUUACUCGGCGUAAUACGUGCGAAGGAUGUUAAAUCCCCGGGCUCAACCUGGGAACUGCGUUUGUGACUGCAUAACUAGAGUACGGCAGAGGGAGGUGGAAUUCCGCGUGUAGCAGUGAAAUGCGUAGAGAUGCGGAGGAACACCGAUGGCGAAGGCAGCCUCCUGGGCCAGUACUGACGCUCAUGCACGAAAGCGUGGGGAGCAAACAGGAUUAGAUACCCCAGUAGUC
rnacentral:rRNA from 1 species